rnacentral:rRNA from 1 species
AUGAUCAAGAGGCGCUACUUCAGGCAAGACCACGGCGACAAUAGCGCCUCCUCGUCCUCCUCCUCUUCGGGUUCUGAUUCGGACCGCGACCCCGCGGAAGAAGAGGUCUCGGAGGAGGAAGUAGAAGGGGAGCAAGAAAAAGAAGAAGAAGAUGAUGAUGAAGAAGCGGAGGUGGAGUCGGGGGAAGAACAGGAAAAGGAAGUAGAUGAGCAGGCCGAAGAUGAGGGUUCAGGAUACCAAAGUGAGGACAGCUCUGGACAUCAUGUUGAUAGUCCUUGUGCAGGUUUACUUUCAGAUGAGAACAGCAGUCUGGUGUAUGAACAAUACCAAGCAAUCAGGUUGCCUGCUAAGAAAGCAUCAAGUGGUGAUGCUGAUUCUGCCGAAGGUGCUGUUAACAAGGAUGACACUGUUGAGGUCGAUUUCAAUAACUACAUUCUGAAGUGCAAAUCUGUGUAUAAGUGCAAGCUUUGUCCCAGAAUCAUGUGCUUAAGUGAGGAGAUGGUCAGGGUACAUCUUGAAUCAAAGAGACAUGCUCGAUCAAAGAAACUACUGGGAGAAGGUAGGCUUAAGAUGGUGCUCAACAGUGAUGGUGAGCUGGAGGAAGAGGCAGAGACACAUGCUGAACGACAUGCCCGAACUAUAGCUCUUGCUCAGCAAGUACAAAAGCCCAAGAAGGAUUCAGGCAGGCAGCGACAAAAUCGGAGAAGACAGAAGAGGUCGCAGAAUCGUCUCAAGGACAAAGAUCAGAGACACAGCUCUGGAAAGGAAGGUGCAAGGCCGAACAAUGGAACUGCUGAUAAGAAAAUGCCGAAUGUUGAAACUGCUGCUAAGAAAAUGCCGAAUCUUGAAACUGCUGCUAAGAAAAGGCGCAAGACUGAAAAAUAA